GAUGAACGCUAGCUACAGGCUUAACACAUGCAAGUCGAGGGGCAGCAUAUAGAAAGCUUGCUUUUUAUGAUGGCGACCGGCGCACGGGUGAGUAACGCGUAUCCAACCUGCCUGUUACCAGGGCACAGCCCGGCGAAAGUCGGAUUAAUGCCCUAUGUGGUGCGAGGAUGACAUCUGAUUCGCACUAAAGAUUUUAUCGGUAACGGAUGGGGAUGCGUCUGAUUAGGUAGUCGGCGGGGUAACGGCCCACCGAGCCGACGAUCAGUAGGGGUUCUGAGAGGAAGGUCCCCCACAUUGAAACUGAGACACGGUCCAAACUCCUACGGGAGGCAGCAGUGAGGAAUAUUGGUCAAUGGGCGGUAGCCUGAACCAGCCAAGUAGCGUGAGGGAAGACGGCCCUAUGGGUUGUAAACCUCUUUAGUCGGGGAAUAAAGUUCGCGACGUGUCGCGUUUUGUAGGUACCCGAAGAAUAAGGACCGGCUAAUUCCGUGCCAGCAGCCGCGGUAAUACGGAAGGUCCUGGCGUUAUCCGGAUUUAUUGGGUUUAAAGGGAGCGCAGGCGGCCCUGUAAGCGGGCAGUGAAAUGUCGGAGCCCAACUCCGUCACUGCUGUCCGAACUGCUGGGCUUGAGUGCGCGCGAGGGAAGCGGAAUUUGUGGUGUAGCGGUGAAAUGCUUAGAUAUCACGAAGAACUCCGAUUGCGAAGGCAGCUUCCCAGAGCGCAACUGACGCUAAAGCUCGAAAGUGCGGGUAUCGAACAGGAUUAGAUACCCUGGUAGUCCACGCUGUAAACGAUGAAUACUAGGUGUGGGGGGACUGACCCCUUCCGUGCCGCAGUUAACACAAUAAGUAUUCCACCUGGGGAGUACGACCGCAAGGUUGAAACUCAAAGGAAUUGACGGGGGCCCGCACAAGCAGUGGAUUAUGUGGUUUAAUUCGAGGCAACGCGAAGAACCUUACCAGGGCUUGACAUCCAACUAACGAAGUAGAGAUACAUUAGGUGCCCUUCGGGGAAAGUUGAGACAGGUGGUGCAUGGUUGUCGUCAGCUCGUGUCGUGAGAUGUUGGGUUAAGUCCCGCAACGAGCGCAACCCUUGUUGCUAGUUGCUACGCAAGAGCACUCUAGCGAGACUGCCGUUGACAAAACGGAGGAAGGUGGGGACGACGUCAAAUCAUCAUGCCCCUUAUGUCCUGGGCUACACACGUAAUACAAUGGCGUUUAACAGAGGGAGGCAAAACCGCGAGGUGGAGCAAAUCCCCAAAAAACGUCUCAGUUCGGAUUGCAGGCUGCAACUCGCCUGCAUGAAGUCGGAAUUGCUAGUAAUCGCGGAUCAGCAUGCCGCGGUGAAUACGUUCCCGGGCCU
rnacentral:rRNA from 1 species